rnacentral:rRNA from 1 species
AUUGAACGCUGGCGGCAGGCCUAACACAUGCAAGUCGAGCGAGCGGCGGACGGGUGAGUAAUGUAUGGGGAUCUGCCCGAUAGAGCGGGAUAACUACUGGAAACGGUAGCUAAUACCGCAUACUAUCGGAUCAACCCCUCUGGCAUUAGCUAGUAGGUGGGGUAAAGGCUCACCCAGGCGACGAUCUCUAGCUGGUCUGACAGGAUGAUAAUCCACACUGGGACUGAGACACGGCCCAGACUCCUACGGGAGGCAGCAGUGGGGAAUAUUGCACAAUGGGAGCAAGCCUGAUGCAGCCAUGCCGCGUGUAUGAAGAAGGCCUUAGGUUUGUAAAGUACUUUCAGCGGGGAGGCGUUACCCGCAGAAGAAGCACCGGCUAACUCCGUGCCAGCAGCCGCGGUAAUAC